GGGGUGCAGACGCACGGACUCCCCGCUCGGCUGAGCAGCGGCCGGAGCGGAGAUCCGGCUAUCCAGCUACGCGGCCUGGCGAAGGGAGAGCGGGGGGCUUGCCCAAGGUCACACCGCAGUUCCACGGGCGAAGAUGACCCAAGCUUUGUUCUGGACUUUUGGAGACCGGCACAAUCUCUGUCCUGGAAAAAUUAUUCCAUGCUCUACCACAUGUGCCUGGCCACGGACUAUAUUCUGUUUAAUGGCAUCACCUGGAAUGGCCUGAAGACCUGGCAUGAUUCCAUUUCCAUUACGAGUCCUACGCCAGGGGACAAAGGUUCCAGGACUUGGCCCAUGGUCCAGCUGACACCAAUGGUGUAUUAUAAGAGCCCUUUUGCUCCCCACCGUUUCACAUAUACCCUUCCUCUGAGAGAGAGAGCAACUUCAGAGCAGGCCUUCAUGUGGGCAACAUACCUUUCGGCCGCGGCCUGCCGGUCUCAGGACGGCUGCGACGCAGAGUGGCAGGCACGAUCUCAGGGGGCAGGUGGAGGUAAUCACGAA